UGAGGAACAUGACCUUCGGCGGGGGAUAGCCGGCCCAACGGCCGGGUAAUACCGCGUACGACCACAUGGGGACAUCCCUGAGUGGUGAAAGCAGCAAUGCGCCGAUGGAGUGCCUCGCGGCCUAUCAGCUAGUUGGUGAGGUAACGGCUCACCAAGGCGACGACGGGUAGCUGGUCUGAGAGGAUGGCCAGCCACAUUGGGACUGAGACGCGGCCCAGACUNUACGGGAG
rnacentral:rRNA from 1 species